UCGCUGCUGGUAUAUCGGUAGAACAUACGCCUGUCAUUUCGGCGGACGCGUGAGAGCGGGGUUCGACUCCCCGGCAGCGAG
rfam:Serendipita vermifera MAFF 305830 unplaced genomic scaffold scaffold_23, whole genome shotgun sequence.